rnacentral:lncRNA from 1 species
GACCAGGCCGGGUUAUGUUCCCAGCAGAACAGACAGUCUGUAAAGACCAGGCCUGGGUUCUGUGUUUCCCAGCAGAACAGACAGUCUGUAAAGACCAGGCCUGGUUUCUGUGUUUCCCAGCAGAACAGACAGUCUAUAAAGACCAGCCUGGUUUCUUGUGUUUCCCACAAACAGACAUGCAAAAGACCAGAUGUCUAUUUCCCACAGAACAGACAUGUGGUAAAGACCAGGCCUGGUUUCUGUGUUUCCCAGCAGAACAGACUGUGUGUGUUUUGUCAAGCCGUGACUGAUGUAUGAUUUUGGCUCCUUGACAUCCAGUUCCUUUCCUCCCGCUCUGCUGUACUAAAUUUUAUAUGAGUUCCUCCUCCUUUGAUUUUUCAGAUGUCUGCCUUGAUUCAAUCUUCACAGUCAAUGAAAUGAACAGAGAGGGGGGAAAUAACGCUCACAAGCCCCAAAUGGAAUUGAAUAUGGAACAUGUUGUGUUACCUACUAUCAUUAGAGUUGAAUAUGGAACAUGUUGUCUAUAGAGUUGUGUUACCUAUCAUUAGAGUUGAAUAUGGAACAUGUUGUGUUACCCAUCAUUAGAGUUGAAUAUGGAACAUGUUGUGUUACCUAUCAUUAGAAUUGAAUAUGGAACAUGUUGUCUAUAGAGUUGUGUUACCAAUCAUUAGAGUUGAAUAUGGAACAUGUUGUCUAUAGAGUUGUGUUACCUAUCAUUAGAGUUGAAUAUGGAACAUUUGUGUUACUCAUCAUUAGAGUUGAAUAGGAACAUGUUGUGUUACCCAUCAUUAGAGUUGAAUAUGGAACAUGUUGUGUUAACCAUCAUUUGAAUUGAAUAUGGAACAUGUUGUGUUACCCAUCAUUGAGUUGAAUAUGGAACAUGUUGUGUUACCCAUCAUUAGAAUUGAAUAUGGAACAUGUUGUGUUACCCAUCAUUAGAGUUGAAUAUGGAACAUGUUGUGUUACCCAUCAUUAGAGUUGAAUAGGGAAAAUGUUGUGUUACCCAUCAUUAGAAUUGAAUAUGGAACAUGUUGUGUUACUCAUCAUUAGAGUUGAAUAUGGAACAUGUUGUGUUACCCAUCAUUAGAAUUGAAUAUGGAACAUGUUU